GCCAGUGUGGUGUAGUGGGUUGAACAUGGAACUAUGACUCUGGAGACCAAGGUUCGAAUCCCAGCUCAGCCA